rnacentral:rRNA from 1 species
AUUGAACGCUGGCGGCAGGCUUAACACAUGCAAGUCGAGCGGGAUGAUGGUGCUUGCACUAUCACUUAGCGGCGGACGGGUGAGUAAUGCUUAGGAAUCUGCCUAUUAGUGGGGGACAACAUCUCGAAAGGGAUGCUAAUACCGCAUACGUCCUACGGGAGAAAGCAGGGGAUCUUCGGACCUUGCGCUAAUAGAUGAGCCUAAGUCGGAUUAGCUAGUUGGUGGGGUAAAGGCCCACCAAGGCGACGAUCUGUAGCGGGUCGGAGAGGAUGAUCCGCCACACUGGGACUGAGACACGGCCCAGACUCCUACGGGAGGCAGCAGUGGGGAAUAUUGGACAAUGGGGGGAACCCUGAUCCAGCCAUGCCGCGUGUGUGAAGAAGGCCUUAUGGUUGUAAAGCACUUUAAGCGAGGAGGAGGCUACUCUAGUUAAUACCUAGGGAUAGUGGACGUUACUCGCAGAAUGAGCACCGGCUAACUCUGUGCCAGCCGCCGCCGUAA